rnacentral:rRNA from 1 species
GAUGAACGCUGGCGGCGUGGAUAAGGCAUGCAAGUCGAACGAGGCUUAGAGCCGAGUGGCAGACGGGGUAGUAACACGUAGGAACUCACCUUCAAGUCAGGAAUAACUUACCGAAAGGUAUGCUAAAACCUGAUAGUCCCUUAGGGGUAAAGAUUUAUCGCUUGAAGAGAGGCCUGCGGAGUAUCAGCUUGUUGGUAGUGUAAUGGACUACCAAGGCUAUGACGCUUAGGGGAGGUGAGAGCCUGACCCCCACCAUUGGAACUGAGACACUGUCCAAACACCUACGGGUGGCUGCAGUCGAGAAUCUUCCGCAAUGCACGAAAGUGUGACGGAGCGACGCCGCGUGAUUGAUGAAGUCUUUCGAGAUGUAAAGAUCUUUUAUAUGUGAGGAAGUUUAUUGACGUUAGCAUAUGAAUAAGAGGUUGCUAAACUCG